GAGACAGGCAGCACCUCUCUUGUCUCACCAGAACCUUGUGUCCAAGGAGGUCCUUCAGGAGACCUGGGAUGAGUGGUGCUUCCCCAAAACAGACUCAUGGACAUUAAACAUCAUCAGAAUGGCACAAGAGGGCAAAGAAGAAAACAGCCUCAUACCACAGUGCAGAGGCUCCUGACCUGGGGGCUGCCAGUCUCCUGUAGCCGGUUCCUGUGGCGCCAGCCGGGCGAGUUUCCUGUCACUGCUCUCCUGCUGGGGGCAGGCGCUGGGGGGCUCCUGGCCAUAGGUCUCUUUCAGCUCCUGGUGAACCCCAUGAACAUCUACGAAGAACAGAAGAUGAUGUUCUUGUACAGCUUGGUGGGUUAGUGCUGGGCAAAAGCCAGGAACACUCAAGCGGCCUGUGGAACACAGCGCCGUCCUGCAUGCCCAGGAAGGAGUCGGGACUUGUUUCUUCUGUACCCAUACAUCCCCUGUGGCUUCCGCCUCCUCCUGGGCUUUACGGGGAGGUCCAGAGGGAAGAGGCUGCCAAUUUAAGAAGGAAGACACCGUCCUUGCCCUGAGGGAGUCUCUCCAUUCCGAGGGACUCCCCAUCACCCACAUGAUAUAGUCCAACCCCAUAACCCUUCAUAACUCUCAUCUCUCCUGACCUGUCUGACCUCGUUUUCUGAUCCUCCUAAGAAAUUAAAUUCAUUCAUUCAUUCAUUCACUCAGCACUUACUGAGAAUCUGCUGAGGAUUUAGCAGUAAACAAGGAUGACAAGCAUCCAGCCGUUUUGCUUUGGUUUUGUUUGUAUGUUUUUGUUUUUGUUUUGAGACGGAGUCUCGCUCUGUCGCCCAGGCUGGAGUGCAGUGGCUCAAUCUCAGCU
rnacentral:sRNA from 1 species